GAUGAAGUUCAAGGCUGUUCAUAACAUGAUCCUUGCUGGCUUCUCCAGUCCCACCUUUGCCUCCUCUUCUUGGCAUCUUGUGUGUUGGCCAGUUGACGCAUGCUGCUCUGCUCCCAUGGAACAUGUGUAACUGAAUCUGAGGGACUUAAAUGCAUGUAAGCUGACAUCACGAAGUACAGUGCUGUCCAGUCCUCGCCCUGGCUCAGGACCCGUGAACCCACUUUGCACGUGGGCCGGGCACGCCACUUUUCCCAGUCAGGGACCUGGGCCCUAGCGCGCGCCCCCGAGGGCCCCACGGAAAUGCCCUGGCCCACUCGCCGGAAGUGACGUAACGCCACGUCCUAGCAACCGUUGCCAAGGAGCUCGUCUCUAGGAACCCACUAGAGCCUGGAUGCCUCCUGCGGGGGGAAAAAAAGUGGUUUCUUGACGAGAAUUUGAGUUAUAAGACCUAAUUAUGAGCGAUCAAAUCAAAUUCAUUGUGGACAAUCUCAAUAAGGAGCCUUUUAGGAAGAACUAUAAUUUAAUAACAUUUGAUUCCCUGGAGCCAAUGCAACUAUUGCAAAUUCUCAAUGAUGUUCUGGCUGAGAUUGACCCAAAGCAAGUUGUUGAUAUCAGAGAGGAGAUGCCAGAGCAUACAGCCAAAAGGAUGUUGAGCCUUCUUGGUAUCCUUAAAUACAAACCUCCAGGAAAUGCUACAGACAUGAGUACCUUUCGUCAGGGUCUGGUGAUUGGAAGUAAACCUGUAAUUUACCCAGUGCUCCACUGGCUUCUUCAGAGGACUAAUGAACUGAAGAAAAGAGCAUAUUUAGCUCGUUUUUUAAUAAAACUUGAGGUACCAAGUGAGUUUCUUCAGGACGAAACAGUGGCUGAUACCAAUAAACAGUAUGAAGAGCUGAUGGAAACCUUUAAAACUUUGCAUAAAGAAUGUGAGCAACUCAAGACAUCUGGAUUUUCUACAGCAGAAAUAAGAAGGGAUAUCAGUGCAAUGGAGGAUGAAAAGGAUCAGCUCAUUAAGAGAGUUGAACGUUUGAAGAAAAGGGUGGAGACAGUUCAGAAUCAUCAACGGAUGCUUAAAAUAGCAAGGCAACUUCGAGUUGAAAAAGAGAGAGAAGAAUUUCUUGCACAACAGAAACAGGAACAAAAGAAUCAGCUAUUUCAUGCGGUGCAGAGACUGCAAAGAGUACAAAAUCAGCUGAAAAGUAUGCGCCACGCAGCAGCAGAUGCAAAGCCUGAAAGUUUAAUGAAGAGACUAGAGGAAGAGAUAAAGUUUAAUUCUUAUAUGGUAACUGAAAAAUUUCCUAAAGAAUUAGAGAGCAAGAAAAAAGAAUUGCAUUUUCUACAAAAAGUGGUUUCAGAGCCUGCCAUGGGCCAUUCUGAUCUUCUUGAACUAGAAUCUAAUAUAAAUGAAAUAAACACACAGAUAAAUCAGCUGAUUGAAAAGAAAAUGAUGAGAAAUGAGCCAAUUGAAGGCAAACUCUCACUAUACAGGCAACAGGCAUCCAUCAUUUCUCGUAAAAAAGAAGCCAAAGCUGAGGAACUUCAGGAAGCGAAGGAGAAGUUAGCCAGCCUAGAGAGAGAGGUAUCAGUGAAGACAAAUCAGACCCGCGAAUUUGAUGGUACUGAAGUUUUGAAGGGAGAUGAGUUCAAACGAUAUGUCAGUAAACUUCGAAGCAAGAGUACAGUUUUCAAAAAGAAGCAUCAAAUAAUAGCUGAAUUUAAAGCUGAAUUCGGCCUCUUGCAGAGGACAGAAGAACUUCUUAAGCAACGGCAUGAAAAUAUUCAACAUCAACUGCGAACUAUUGAAGAGAAAAAGGGCGUAUCUGGAUAUAGUUACACUCAGGAAGAGCUGGAAAGGGUAUCUGCACUGAAGAGUGAAGUCGACGAAAUGAAAGGCCGAACGCUAGAUGACAUGUCUGAAAUGGUAAAAAAACUGAAUUCACUGGUGUCUGAAAAGAAGUCAGCUCUAGCCCCAGUUAUAAAAGAGCUACGACAGUUGCGUCAGAAAUGUCAAGAACUAACCCAGGAGUGUGAUGAAAAGAAAUCCCAGUAUGAUAGCUGUGCAGCAGGCCUCGAAAGCAAUCGGUCCAAAUUAGAACAGGAAGUCAGAGGACUCCGUGAAGAAUGUCUUCAGGAAGAAAGUAGAUACCAUUACACAAAUUGUAUGAUUAAGAACCUAGAAGUACAACUUCGUCGUGCUACUGAUGAGAUGAAGGCUUAUGUUUCUUCUGAUCAACAAGAAAAAAGAAAGGCAAUUAGGGAGCAGUAUACAAAAACUAUUGCUGAACAGGAAAACCUUGGAAAGAAACUCCGAGAAAAACAGAAAGCUGUACGAGAAAGUCAUGGUCCAAAUAUGAAACAAGCGAAAAUGUGGCGUGAUUUUGAACAAUUGAUGGAAUGUAAGAAACAGUGCUUUCUGAAACAACAAAGCCAAACUUCCAUUGGUCAGAAACUCCUCCAACUGCACAAAACUUCUGAACUGUGCUUUUUAAAGAUAUGAAAAAGGAAAAUAUGAUGAUACCUACAAAAUACUCCCAAGACCUGUAGUGCUCAAAGAAGAUUUUAGUGAUGGAAAAGUCUCAGAGAAAAGGUCUAGAAACCAGAUCCCAGGGCCUGGAAUAUUUCUGUCUAGUCCCUAAGAUGCAUCUUUUCCUGUUACCAAAAGGUCUGAGACACCCAGUUGGUAAUCAGAAGCUCUUACAGGGAGCCUGGAAAGUACCUGCAGACUCUUAUGGCAUUUUUACUUCCAAGUAUGAGGCUGGAUCUUAAGAGGAGCCUAAGAUAAAGGUGUCUGUCCACCAGCUCUACCAAGUGCUAUGCUACACACUUCACUUGAGGAAAGCUGCCUGAGGUGGUAUUUUGGAAGACCUGUGAUAACUCUGAAUCAUGAAACUGGAGGAACAGAACAAAUCACAAGUUAAAACAUACCUAACGUCUGCCAGAAAGUACCCGCUGAGAGCAUCAUUAGCCUGAAGUCUGGAUCUAAUGCACUAAACCCUUCCCUUCCCUCUUAACCCCAAUCUCUGUAAUUGACAUUAGUUGCCUGCGGUCAGAUCUCUUUCAAUCCCAGUGUCUACAGGCUCCUGAUCUUGGACGACUGGGACAGCUAGACCUAUCUUUUCUUAGGCCCACUCUUGCUUUAUUUCCCUUUUUUUGGUGUGUGCAUACUGCCUUAAUUGGGCAAUCAUUAUGCCAUUCUCCCAUUAACGUCGGUGGGGAAGUGAGUAAUCAAACUCUCAAUUGUAAACUUCGGUAAGAUAAGGUCAGCAAGACGUGUGGUCCUGAGAUGGCACCCCGCACCCGCAAGGGAAAAUGACUCUCGGUGGCUCUCAUUGUUUUGGGGCUUGUUUGCGUUGCUGUGCACUUGUAAUGGAAAACGAAUAAAAAUAAAAAUCCCGGGGCCCAUUUUGGCGCGCGCUUGGGAAGUUAAUCCCACUGUCCUGGCAGAAUUCCAGCUCAGGUCACUGCAUUCUGCUGGCAGAAGCCGCCUCAUGCGGUUUUCAGUGGAUGUCACUUUCUUCUUUGCAUCCUUCUCAGGGCUCCGUGUGCAGCACAUUCAACAGCUGGCCCUUCCCCACCUGCAGGAGCUACAGUUCUGCAGAACUCAGAAUGACCCCUGCCUCUUCCCCGGGCAGGAAAUUAACCUGCUCCAAGGACCAGCCACUGAGAUAUUUGCUACAGUCAAGAUCUAUACGAAUGUGUCUUUCUCUGAGUGCCUUUAAGCAGCCACAGAAUCAGAUUACUCUCCUUAAAAGAUUUUUCAAGGAAUCACACAGUUUCUUACAAGUCUCUAAUGCAUAUAUUCCCUCCAUUUAUUUUGUAACGUUUUGUUAUGCAAACUAAAAAUGUCUCCUUAUCUGAAGUACUUAGAAAUUUAUCUCCCUUUCACCCAUAUAUGCUUAUUGUUGCUGCUUUUGUUUUCACAGAUUUUUUUUUCUAGUGUGUAACUCUUUCCCCUAUGAAAUGUAUUGCAUUUUAUGGUGCGAGGAAUGGUUCUAACUAGUUGUUCCCCCAUACAAAUAAUCUUCUGUUCUUAACAAUGUUUACUGAAUGGCAGUUUCCAAUUGUGUGUCUUCCGCACAUGACUUAAACCUGUCUGACCAUCAGCUUUCAGGAUCUGGGGAGAUAGGAAUGACACCUACCUGACAGGCUUAUCCCAAGGAUGGAGUAAGCCAGCACGUGAAAAGGUCCUAGCACGUUGCAUGCAUGGCAGAUAUGUGUUUAAUAAAUGAUGUCUUCCUUUUA